CAAGAAUUGCGAAAGGCUCCUAAACCAUUGUGAACCUACCUCACCGUUGCUUCGGCGGGUGGCUCCCGGUCACCAGGGCCGUGCCGGCCCCGCUCUCAGGAGGUCCGGGCAAGCCUGUCAGGAGGUCCCGAAACUCUGUAUAUCAGUGGCCUCUCUGAGUACUUAAUACAAAUAAGUCA
rnacentral:misc_RNA from 1 species